UCUCUGUUGGAAUCUUAUUGACAGGUAUGCUCCUGGAUCUUUUUUAUUCUAAAUAUUAAUUAAUUAUUUCAGUAUGCAUAUGUUUGCUUCCCACGUAUCACUUUCAGCUCUUGGUUUAGAACAAUUACAGGACUUGAAUGUCAAGGAAAUAUUCAUAUAAAGUUACACCUUUUUGUUUUUUAUGCAGAACCAUUUGUUGGAUCUAAUAUAGGUUUGAUUAUCUUAAUUCAUUUUAACUUCUUUGCUCUGCAUUUUUUUUUCCUUUUUAUUUUGCUUGUUUACCCUCAAGCACAUCAUCCAUUUUAUAUGGUAAAGACAAGGGUUGCUUUUCUGGACCCUAAAAAUCCUUAUUCAUUGAUGAUAUAGCUUCGUUAAUAAGGAUUUUCUAUCUUCAGUAUGGAAGGAACUGUCUUCCUUUCUUUGGAUUUUG
rnacentral:misc_RNA from 1 species